rnacentral:rRNA from 1 species
CUAAUACAUGCAAGUCGAGCGGACCGACGGGAGCUUGCUCCCUUAGGUCAGCGGCGGACGGGUGAGUAACACGUGGGUAACCUGCCUGUAAGACUGGGAUAACUCCGGGAAACCGGGGCUAAUACCGGAUGCUUGAUUGAGCCGCAUGGUUCAAUUAUAAAAGGUGGCUUUCAGCUACCACUUACAGAUGGACCCGCGGCGCAUUAGCUAGUUGGUGAGGUAACGGCUCACCAAGGCGACGAUGCGUAGCCGACCUGAGAGGGUGAUCGGCCACACUGGGACUGAGACACGGCCCAGACUCCUACGGGAGGCAGCAGUAGGGAAUCUUCCGCAAUGGACGAAAGUCUGACGGAGCAACGCCGCGUGAGUGAUGAAGGUUUUCGGAUCGUAAAACUCUGUUGUUAGGGAAGAACAAGUACCGUUCGAAUAGGGCGGCACCUUGACGGUACCUAACCAGAAAGCCACGGCUAACUACGUGCCAGCAGCCGCGGUAAUACGUAGGUGGCAAGCGUUGUCCGGAAUUAUUGGGCGUAAAGCGCGCGCAGGCGGUUUCUUAAGUCUGAUGUGAAAGCCCCCGGCUCAACCGGGGAGGGUCAUUGGAAACUGGGGAACUUGAGUGCAGAAGAGGAGAGUGGAAUUCCACGUGUAGCGGUGAAAUGCGUACAGCUGUGGAGGAACACCAGUGGCGAAGG